UACGUAGGGUGCAAGCGUUAAUCGGAAUUACUGGGCGUAAAGCGUGCGCAGGCGGCUUUGCAAGACAGAUGUGAAAUCCCCGGGCUCAACCCGGGAACUGCGUCUGAUACUGGAGGGCUUGAAUCCGGGAGAUGGAUGUGGAAUUCCAGGUGUAGCGGUGAAAUGCGUAGAUAUCUGGAGGAACACCGGUGGCGAAGGCGGCAUCCUGGACCGGUAUUGACGCUGAGGCGCGAAAGCCAGGGGAGCAAACGGG
rnacentral:rRNA from 1 species